rnacentral:antisense_RNA from 1 species
GAUUCUCCUGUCUCAGCCUCUCAAGUAGCUGGGACUACAGGCAUGCGCCACCAUGCCCAGCUAAUUUUUUUGUAUUUUUAGUAGAGAUAAGGUUUCACCAUGUUGGCCAGGAUGGUCUCGAUCUCUUGACCUCAUGAUCCGCCUGCCUUGGCCUCCCAAAGUGAGAGGAUUGCUUGAGGCCAGGAGUUUGAAACCAGCCGGGUCAACAUGGUAAGACCCCAUCUCUAUAAAAAAGAAAAAAUUAGCCCAGCAUGGUGGCACAUGCCUGUAGCCCCAGCUACUCAGGAGGCUGGGGCAGAAGGAUCACUCAAGCCCAGGAGUUUGAGGCUGCAGUGAACCAUGAUUGUGCCACUGCACUCUAGCCUAGGUGACAGAGUGCAACCCUGUCUCAAAACAACAACAACAAAAAAAAAACUUCCAAAUUCAUUUUAAACUUUAUUGUCUUUCACAGACCAAACCCCACUAAUAAUAGCUAGGCCUCCUUCUACC